ACUAUCAUGCAUUAGUUUUGCUCCCCCACCCGCCAUUUUUAAAAAGACCCGACGGGGCUCAUUGCCUGCUUGAAUUAUGCAGAAACGGGCAGCACUUAGGCCCUCGAUUCCCAAACCCUGUCGCCAGGAGGAAAGACCAGAUGCUGUGGUAUUUAGUUUACCGGCUGCACCAGGUCCUACUACACUGGCCGUGAAGGGAGAAACUUUUGAUGAUUCCCAGAUGGAUACAGCCUCACCCAGAAGUGCAUACACUGGGCCUAUCAGAGAUGGGAGGCUGACAAGGGAAAAUAAAACAACAUGCACACGCACACACUCACACACAUUAUCCAUAAUGUAAAUACGUUGUAAUUACUUGUGUAUUUAAUGUUUGCUCAAUUUUA